rnacentral:rRNA from 1 species
GCUGGACUGGUGCGAAGAGGCGCGGUAAUAGGGAGGGGUCGAGGGUGGUUGGGAGGUACUGGGGGGAACGCGCACGUAGGGGGGUUUGCAAGGUAGAGGUGAAAGCCCGGGGGUCAACUCCGGAAUGGCCUUUAAAACUGGAUCGCUAGGGUGGUGGAGAGGUAAUUGGAGUUCCGAGUGUAGAGGUGAAAUUCGUAGAUAUUCGGAAGAACACCAGUGGCGAAGGCGACUUACUGGACACAUACUGACGCUGAGGUGCGAAAGCGUGGGGAGCAAACAGGAUUAGAUACCCGGGGAGUC